rnacentral:rRNA from 1 species
UAGGGAAUCUUCGGCAAUGGGGGGAACCCUGACCGAGCAACGCCGCGUGAGUGAAGAAGGUUUUCGGAUCGUAAAGCUCUGUUGUUAAGGAAGAACGAGUGUGAGAAUGGAAAGUUCACACUGUGACGGUACUUAACCAGAAAGGGACGGCUAACUACGUGCCAGCAGCCGCGGUAAUACGUAGGUCCCGAGCGUUGUCCGGAUUUAUUGGGCGUAAAGCGAGCGCAGGCGGUUUGAUAAGUCUGAAGUUAAAGGCUGUGGCUCAACCAUAGUUCGCUUUGGAAACUGUCAAACUUGAGUGCAGAAGGGGAGAGUGGAAUUCCAUGUGUAGCGGUGAAAUGCGUAGAUAUAUGGAGGAACACCGGUGGCGAAAGCGGCUCUCUGGUCUGUAACUGACGCUGAGGCUCGAAAGCGUGGGGAGCGAACAGGAUUAGAUACCCUGGUAGUCCACGCCGUAAACGAUGAGUGCUAGGUGUUGGAUCCUUUCCGGGAUUCAGUGCCGCAGCUAACGCAUUAAGCACUCCGCCUGGGGAGUACGACCGCAAGGUUG